CUCGGAUUUAAUUCUCAGCAUCCAAAUGGCAGCUGACAACUGUCUGUGACUCCAGUUCCAGGGGAUCUGAAGCCCUCUUCUAGACAUACGUGCAGAUGAAAACCUUGGCAGAAGGAGAUUUAUUUGGUACCGUGAGCUUCUCUUGUAAAUAGCUCCCCGGGUGCCGUGUCUACAACCCACCUGUCAGCCCUUGGAGUGGAGGAGGCUGUGUGUUAUUGAUCCCGACCUGUGGCUGCACCCAGCAUGGUACUAGUAUCUAGCAGGUAUUCAAUCAAUGUCCUCUGCAUGUAGAGAUAAUGAGGAGGGAAAGGAGGGUCUUAUGGGGGGCUCACUGCAAGAGAGACUGCAGGAUGUGGGAGGAAUAGGGAUCCCGGGGAUAGCCUGGAGGACGAAAUUAGCCAGGGAUGGAGGAAGGAAAAGAGCUAGACCACGUGAUAUGGCAAGCACAGAAUACUUGCUGCACACAUGGAAGUACAUAUGAGAGGGGCAGUCUUCC
rnacentral:lncRNA from 1 species